AAAAGAACUUUGAAGAGAGAGUUCAACAGUACGGAACACCGCCUAGAGGUAAACGGGUGGAUCCGCAAAGUCGGCCCGCGAAAUUCAGCUCGGAAGGCUGGUCGCGAGUAGUGGGGUUUGGAGAUGUUUCAUGAACUCUCCCGCGGGUUGCACGAUUCCUCGACGUGUGCACCUUUUGCCCGCAGGGCGCCAAAACCCCCUUCCGCCCAGUCAGAAGGCAACCGGGGCAACCAAGGUAAGUGGGCCCUUCCUCGUUUCCCUUUAUAGCUUCGCCUGUCCGGAUCUGCUCGGGGACAAAGGCGCCGCCGCUCGCCUCCAGACUAUACUGGGCUCGUGAGGGGUUCGACUAGCAGAGACUGACCAACCAUCUCUUCCCCCCGCCCCUUUUGGACGGGCGUGGGGGGCUUUUCCAGUCCGCCCAGAAAAGGGUCGGUGGCCAAUCGGUCGGCACUCCACCCGACCCGUCCUGCACCACGGGCCCAGGAGUCUAACUUGCGCGCGACUUCUUGGGUAGUACGAAACCGGAAGGCAAAGUGAAAGCGAAACCCGUCCUUGCGAACGUGCUCAGGUGAGGUCCUGCUGUCCGUCUCCCCCGGGCGCACAC
rnacentral:rRNA from 1 species